rnacentral:lncRNA from 1 species
UAGUUUGUUCUGACCAAGUGUCCCUAGCACUUCAGAUAGAUGAACUACGUGUUCCUCCAGGCUCUUGGAGUACAUUAGGAUGUCAUCAAUGAAUACGAUGACAUACAAAUAUUUUUGAAGCUUUUAUCUUACAAUUUUUAUACACACAGUGAGCUUCUAAUAAUCCCCUAAAGGGAGUCUCUACAGCUAAUAUUUCUUUUAAAGGUUUAGGCCU